rnacentral:rRNA from 1 species
GGGAGCUUGCUCCCUGAUGUUAGCGGCGGACGGGUGAGUAACACGUGGGUAACCUGCCUGUAAGACUGGGAUAACUCCGGGAAACCGGGGCUAAUACCGGAUGGUUGUUUGAACCGCAUGGUUCAAACAUAAAAGGUGGCUUCGGCUACCACUUACAGAUGGACCCGCGGCGCAUUAGCUAGUUGGUGAGGUAACGGCUCACCAAGGCGACGAUGCGUAGCCGACCUGAGAGGGUGAUCGGCCACACUGGGACUGAGACACGGCCCAGACUCCUACGGGAGGCAGCAGUAGGGAAUCUUCCGCAAUGGACGAAAGUCUGACGGAGCAACGCCGCGUGAGUGAUGAAGGUUUUCGGAUCGUAAAGCUCUGUUGUUAGGGAAGAACAAGUACCGUUCGAAUAGGGCGGUACCUUGACGGUACCUAACCAGAAAGCCACGGCUAACUACGUGCCAGCAGCCGCGGUAAUACGUAGGUGGCAAGCGUUGUCCGGAAUUAUUGGGCGUAAAGGGCUCGCAGGCGGUUUCUUAAGUCUGAUGUGAAAGCCCCCGGCUCAACCGGGGAGGGUCAUUGGAAACUGGGGAACUUGAGUGCAGAAGAGGAGAGUGGAAUUCCACGUGUAGCGGUGAAAUGCGUAGAGAUGUGGAGGAACACCAGUGGCGAAGGCGACUCUCUGGUCUGUAACUGACGCUGAGGAGCGAAAGCGUGGGGAGCGAACAGGAUUAGAUACCCUGGUAGUCCACGCCGUAAACGAUGAGUGCUAAGUGUUAGGGGGUUUCCGCCCCUUAGUGCUGCAGCUAACGCAUUAAGCACUCCGCCUGGGGAGUACGGUCGCAAGACUGAAACUCAAAGGAAUUGACGGGGGCCCGCACAAGCGGUGGAGCAUGUGGUUUAAUUCGAAGCAACGCGAAGAACCUUACCAGGUCUUGACAUCCUUUGACAAUCCUAGAGAUAGGACGUCCCCUUCGGGGGCAGAGUGACAGGUGGUGCAUGGUUGUCGUCAGCUCGUGUCGUGAGAUGUUGGGUUAAGUCCCGCAACGAGCGCAACCCUUGAUCUUAGUUGCCAGCAUUCAGUUGGGCACUCUAAGGUGACUGCCGGUGACAAACCGGAGGAAGGUGGGGAUGACGUCAAAUCAUCAUGCCCCUUAUGACCUGGGCUACACACGUGCUACAAUGGACAGAACAAAGGGCAGCGAAACCGCGAGGUUAAGCCAAUCCCACAAAUCUGUUCUCAGUUCGGAUCGCAGUCUGCAACUCGACUGCGUGAAGC